rnacentral:sRNA from 1 species
UGCGGAAGGAUCAUUAGUGAAUUUUAGGGCGUCUACUUGUAGAGCCUGACCUCCACUCUCUAACACUGUGCACUUUUUGGCGGGUUAAGGAAAGAUUAGUAAUAGUCCGCCCUAGACCUGCGGCUCAUUUUAUAACACUAGUCAAAGAAUGUAACGAAAUAUCGAAACAAAAAAAAACUUUCAACAACGGAUCUCUUGGCUCUCGCAUCGAUGAAGAACGCAGCGAAAUGUGAUAAGUAAUGUGAAUUGCAGAAUUCAGUGAAUCAUCGAAUCUUUGAACGCACCUUGCGCUCCCUGGUAUUCCGGGGAGCAUGCCUGUUUGAGUGUCAUGAACUCUUCAACCCACCAGUUUCUUGUAGACUGAAUGGUGUUUGGAUUUUGAAUGUUGCUGGUCCUUCGGGACGAAGCUCGUUCGUAAUACAUUAGCAUCUCUAAUUCGAAAUCGGAUUGACUCAGUGUAAUAGACUAUUCGCUGAGGACACCUUUUAGGUGGCCGGGAUAGAAACCAGUAGAAGCUUCUAACUCCUAUAGUCAACUUUAGAUUAGACCUCAGAUCAGG